CUGGGGAGAAAUAUAAGCCGUAGGCAGACGUCCUGCUGUAUGGUUCGAGAUCGCUGCCUCUACCAGAACUGUUGUGCUUCUCUGCUUGGUCUUCACGGUGGUGGCCGCGAUGCCACACGAUUCUGAAGACGUGCCGCAGCCAGCGCUGCCUAGCGGAGAUGUCAGCAACCAGGAGAGUAUACAGACAGCAGUGGGCGCCAAACCUCCCACGGAGGACUUGGAAGACCGCAGGAUACGCUUAGAACCCAUAUCUUCUGAGCGAGCUGCCGGCAAAUGCAAGAACAGAUGUUUCGUUUUCAUUUAAAGUUUUUUGUCUCGAGUAUCAAUAACUUGUAAAUACUAUUUGUGGAUCUAUAUGAAGAGCUUUUAGUUCCCAUCGUACAAACGAAUACACAUUACAAACGAAUAAAUGAAUUUUAGCAUUCAA